rnacentral:lncRNA from 1 species
UUCGCAGUUCGCACGACGCACGUUGUUGUUUGUUCCUUUGCAAAGUAUAAAUCGAGAAGUAUUUUGAAUGUAUAUUAAAUUUUACUGGACAUUAUGAUACAAGAUUGCCUGGAGAAGAUCGAGGAUAUUGUUUUAAAAGUGACUGGGAAUCUCAGUCAUCUCAGAGAUGGUGGAUUAACAAGUGCCAAGUGGUGAUGUUUAUAAGUCUAAGUCAUCUAAGUCUGUAAUGAACGAGCAGGAAAGUAUGGUGCCAAGGUCUUUCAUUUGAUGAAAAAUAUCAACUUGAUAUUAGUCAGUGAAACAAGAAAAGAAGCCAUUUGACUUGGUUUAAGGAAAUAAGGAACAUGGAUUAAUUGAGGUAGUACUAGUGUGCGAGAAACUCAGUGGAUGAGUGGAAAGUCUCCUCUGUUAAUGGUUAAUUGGAUUCACAGUGUUGCAGAACUUAAUUUUCCAGGACAAAAAUACUCCAGGUGAUCUUAUAAAUAUGCUCAUAUUUGGGAGGACAUAUACCAACUUUACAAACAACUAGUCAGUAAUCAAAGAGGAACAUUGCUCAGGAGUUAAUUACUUUAGCUUA